GACGAACGCUGGCGGCGUGCCUAAUACAUGCAAGUAGAACGCUGAAGGAGGAGCUUGCUUCUCCGGAUGAGUUGCGAACGGGUGAGUAACGCGUAGGUAACCUGCCUGGUAGCGGGGGAUAACUAUUGGAAACGAUAGCUAAUACCGCAUAAGAGUAGAUGUUGCAUGACAUUUACUUAAAAGGUGCAAUUGCAUCACUACCAGAUGGACCUGCGUUGUAUUAGCUAGUUGGUGAGGUAACGGCUCACCAAGGCGACGAUACAUAGCCGACCUGAGAGGGUGAUCGGCCACACUGGGACUGAGACACGGCCCAGACUCCUACGGGAGGCAGCAGUAGGGAAUCUUCGGCAAUGGACGGAAGUCUGACCGAGCAACGCCGCGUGAGUGAAGAAGGUUUUCGGAUCGUAAAGCUCUGUUGUAAGAGAAGAACGAGUGUGAGAGUGGAAAGUUC
rnacentral:rRNA from 1 species